GACGAACGCUGGCGGCGUGCUUAACACAUGCAAGUCGAACGGAAAGGCCCUGCUUUUGUGGGGUGCUCGAGUGGCGAACGGGUGAGUAACACGUGAGUAACCUGCCCUUGACUUUGGGGUAACUUCAGGAAACUGGGGCUAAUACCGGAUAGGAGCUCCUGCUGCAUGGUGGGGGUUGGAAAGUUUCGGCGGUUGGGGAUGGACUGGCGGCUUAUCAGCUUGUUGGUGGGGUAGUGGCUUACCAAGGCUUUGACGGGUAGCCGGCCUGAGAGGGUGACCGGGCACAUGGGGCCUGAGAGACGGCGCAGUCUGCUACAGUGGGCAGCAGUGGGGAGUCUUGCACAAUGAGCGGAAGCCUGAUGCAGAGGCGCCGGGUUCGGGAUGACGGCCUUCUGGUUGUGAACCGCUGUCGCCUGUGACGAAGCGGGAGUGACGGUAAUGGGUAAAGAAGCACCGGCUAACUACGUG
rnacentral:rRNA from 1 species